rnacentral:tRNA from 1 species
UGGGGUAUAGCUCAGUGGUAGAGCACUUGCCUAAUGUGCAUGAUGUCUUGGGUUCCACCUCCAGUACCACAU